rnacentral:RNase_P_RNA from 2 species
GGAAGGUGUCGGAUAGUUGCUCCAACGCAAGUUGGGGAGGAAAGUCCGAACAUUCAAUUCUCUGUGUAUGCAUAUGCGUGCAGAGAAUAAAGGUAGUGGGUAAUACCCAUCGGGAGUAAUCCUAGAGGUGCGAGCAGAAACGACCCGGUUAAGUCCGGCUGAAACGGCAAAAUCCUUACCUGAAUGCAAGGCCGUGUCCCGCGGAGCUUUAUGUGAAGUGGGAAGUGCCGCUUGAUCCCGACGGUAACGUCGGGACUAGAUAAAUAACUAUCGUUAGUCGCCUAUGCCAAAGCUAGGGCGUACUGAUACAGAAUUCGGCUUAUAGACAUCCAAAA